AUGUACGUCUUGGAGAGAUCUUUCCUAUCCUUCGAGAUCCAUCCAUUAGACCUAUUUGAAGAGGGUUCCAUUACUAACAUGUUUACUUCAAUUGUCGGUAAGGUAUUUGGUUUUAAAAACCCUAUUUUUUAUAUGUCUAGAGGGUCAACAAAUUCCCCCUACUUAUUCAAAAACUUUCCAAGCCAUGGUAUUAUUGUGAAUAGCCAUCAACUAUAUGGAAACGUUAGAAGAAUAUGGCCUAUUCUGGGCCCUAGAAUACAUUACAUUCGUAUGAUGAUUCCCUUCAACCGGGUUAUUCAAUUCCAAUUAUAG
rnacentral:rRNA from 1 species